rnacentral:rRNA from 1 species
UACGAAGGGGGCUAGCGUUGCUCGGAAUCACUGGGCGUAAAGGGUGCGUAGGCGGGUCUUAAGUCAGGGGUGAAAUCCUGGAGCUCAACUCCAGAACUGCCUUUGAUACUGAGGAUCUUGAGUUCGGGAGAGGUGAGUGGAACUGCGAGUGUAGAGGUGAAAUUCGUAGAUAUUCGCAAGAACACCAGUGGCGAAGGCGGCUCACUGGCCCGGUACUGACGCUGAGGUGCGAAAGCGUGGGGAGCGAACAGG